CGGCGAUGGAAGGCCCAGCUUCCUCCCACGGCGGUGAGCAACAAGUGAAGCAGAAAUAAGUCAGCAUGGUUGUCUUGGCUUCUCCGAAAAUCUGAAGGCCCAGGUGUCUACUGAAGACAGAAAGGAUAGUUCCGCCCUUUUAAUGGAAUGAAACCUAGUUAAGGUCUUUCACGUGGGGCCCAGAUCUCUGAGGUGCUUCUGGGUAAAUCACAGGAGGAGAUCGAAGGGAGAACCGGAAGCACGACAGGAAAACAAAGGUGUCUCUGUGGCAUCACUGUCACAGGAAGAGAACCAAUCCCGACUUAGCGCCUACUCACAAGGACCUGCUGGGAGCAAACCUAUUUCUGGCUUCCUGGAAUAGCGUUGCCUUUGGGCCUAUAAAGAAACACAAAUGGAUGAGUUCCACAAAAUAUGAACAGUGUUUGUUUUUGCCUGCCUUCUUCACUUGGAAACAACGGCCCAACUUCCCUUUAGGAAGCUACUCCUCUCCCUUUCUCCCUUCAGUCCGCGCGGUUCAACGGGGGCUGUUGGCUUACUUCCCUCCUUUCCCAAAGCACGGCCUACCCCCGACCCUGGACUUCUGCCGACACCAUGGAGAAAGGCAUCUAUCCUCCUGAGAGGGAAGGCACUGAAGACCAUGGAAAUCUAGAAUGCUGGGGGCUACCUUUGCCCCAGAUGGGGAGCCUGCCUGAGAAUUAAGCUAACACAGAAGAAACAAAUUCUUUAAAAUAUAAUCUGGACACUGGGACUCAGACACGCUUGAGCCUGGAUUUACCAGUUCCCUAAGCCAAAAAAUUUCCCUAAGCCAGAUUAUGCAUCUUAGCCCUUGAAACUGGGAGAGUUCAGAAGAAUACGGUCCUUGGAGCUGGAUGGCGGGAUUUGAGGAGAUAUUUUCUUCUUUUGUACAUUUCUGUUCUGCUUGAAAUGUUUACAAUAUACAUGCAUCAUUUUUUUCUAAAACAAUAUCAAAGCAAAACAAAACAGCAGUAUUUUAGGCAUCACCCUAUACAGAGAAUCAAUCCUGCAAUCGGUGGGUCUUCUAAGUGAAGUCAAAAUCAUAGGAAGGACUCUGAAAGGGAUCUUGUUUAUCCUAAUAUCUAAGACAAGAGAACCUGUUUCAUGUUGAAAGCUCAUCCGAGACGAAGUUUCUCUAAUUCCCCUCAUGAACCAGAAUUUCUAAAAAGUGUUAUUUGCCCCUAGGAAAGCCUUCCUUCACUUUAAUCUAAGUACCCCUUGGGUCAUGUCCCCUGACUCUGUUCUCAGUCCAGAAUCCGGAUGUUCCCCCAGCCACGUUCCCACCUGGGCCCUUUCCCUCACUUUUCCACUUGAAGGCCCUUAAAAAACAAGCUACCGUAUGGGGCAUCAGACAGAACAGGUCAGCCCUCAGACUGCACAUGGGAAGACGUAAGAACAAGGCGAGCUGCUUUUAGAUUUUAAAAUAAUAACGUCUCUGCUGGAGCCUUCCUGAAUGGCGAAGUCCUUUUCCUGCCAGCUGGAGCUGCCCAAGGGGACUUUGCUCCUAUCCAAACAGUGGCAUGUUUCCAGGUUAUAAACAUCCUGUCCUUGCCACAGAUCUUAGACCAACAUCUAAUCUCAGGGUGGCAGAUUUCUGGACACUCCUUUCUUCUGUCUAAUGGUAUGGCUCUAUGAUCCCAAACCUCUAAAUGUUUCUAAGGUAUCUGUCACAGUCCUCUCAAUGUACCCAAAACACCAAGUGUAUCUCUAGCUUUGGCAUGACUUUACCUUCUGAAUCAUCAAAAAGAGAUGAAAGAA